GACGAACGCUGGCGGCGUGCUUAACACAUGCCAGUCGAACGGAAAGGCCCUGCUUUUGUGGGGUGCUCGAGUGGCGAACGGGUGAGUAACACGUGAGUAACCUGCCCUUGACUUUGGGAUAACUUCAGGAAACUGGGGUUAAUACCGGAUAGGAGCUCCUGCUGCAUGGUGGGGGUUGGAAAGUUUCGGCGGUUGGGGAUGGACUCGCGGCUUAUCAGCUUGUUGGUGGGGUAGUGGCUUACCAAGGCUUUGACGGGUAGCCGGCCUGAGAGGGUGACCGGCCACAUUGGGACUGAGAUACGGCCCAGACUCCUACGGGAGGCAGCAGUGGGGAAUAUUGCACAAUGGGCGGAAGCCUGAUGCAGCAACGCCGCGUGCGGGAUGACGGCCUUCGGGUUGUAAACCGCUUUCGCCUGUGACGAAGCGUGAGUGACGGUAAUGGGUAAAGAAGCACCGGCUAACUACGUG
rnacentral:rRNA from 1 species